GACGAACCGAGCGAACGUUGUUCGGAAUCACUGGGCUUAAAGGGCGCGUAGGCGGGCUGUCAAGUCUGGGGUGAAAUCCCGCGGCUCAACCGUGGAACUGCCUCAGAUACUGACGGCCUCGAGGGAGAUAGGGGCAUGCGGAACUGUAGGUGGAGCGGUGAAAUGCGUUGAUAUCUACAGGAACUCCGGUGGCGAAGGCGGCGUGCUGGAUCUCUUCUGACGCUGAGGCGCGAAAGCUAGGGGAGCAAACGGG
rnacentral:rRNA from 1 species